UUGCUGUGAGGAACCUAACUCAACACAUCAUUCUUACUGAUGAGUGAAGAAACAUCAAUACCUGAGCAUA